rnacentral:rRNA from 1 species
UACGGGGGGAGCAAGCGUUGUUCGGAUUUACUGGGCGUAAAGGGCGCGUAGGCGGCCAGCACAAGUCAGUUGUGAAAUCUCCGAGCUUAACUCGGAACGGUCAACUGAUACUGUGCGGCUAGAGUGCGGAAGGGGCAACUGGAAUUCUUGGUGUAGCGGUGAAAUGCGCAGAUAUCGGGAAGAACACCCGUGGCGAAGGCGGUUCUCUGGGACGGUACUGACGCUGAGACGCGAAAGCGUGGGGAGCGAACAGG